rnacentral:rRNA from 1 species
UAGUCGAGAAUCUUCGGCAAUGGACGCAAGUCUGACCGAGCGACGCCGCGUGCGGGAUGAAGGCCUUCGGGUUGUAAACCGCUGUCAGAGGGGAUGAAGUAUACGGGAGUUAUCUCCUGUAUUUGACAGAGCCUCAGAGGAAGCACGGGCUAAGUUCGUGCCAGCAGCCGCGGUAAUACGAACUGUGCGAACGUUAUUCGGAAUCACUGGGCUUAAAGGGUGCGUAGGCGGUUAUCUAAGUCAGGUGUGAAAUCUCUCGGCUCAACCGAGAAACUGCGCUUGAAACUGGGUGACUGGAGGAAUGCAGGGGUGUGUGGAACUUCCGGUGGAGCGGUGAAAUGCGCAGAUAUCAGGAGGAACACCAAUGGCGAAGGCAGGUCUCUGGGCCAUAACUGACACUGAGGAGCGAAAGUGCGGGGAGCGAACAGGAUUAGAUACCCUGGUAGUCCGCACCGUAAACGGUGGGCACUAGUUGUGGGAACCUUCCACGGUUUCCGCGACGCAGCAAACGCAUUAAGUGCCCCGCCUGGGGAGUACGAUCGCAAGAUUAAAACUCAAAUGAAUUGACGG